rnacentral:RNase_P_RNA from 1 species
CUGGGCAAACGCUAUAGCAAUUGUUAUAGAGGAAAGUCCACGCUCACACUAUCUGAGAUGGUAGUAGUGUUUAUGCUUAAGGAAAAAAUAACUUAAGGCAGUUUAGGCUGACGGCUUUAUUUGUUUCUAAGGAGUAUUCUAUGAAACGAAUAUCUAAAGUGCCACAGUGACGAAUCUAAAUAGAAAUGUUUAGGGUGAAACGAGGUAAACCCCAUAAGUGAGAAACUCAAAUUUUGGUAGAGGAACUAUUGGAUGGGAAAUGAACCAGAAGAUGGAUGAGAAAUCAUAGAUAAAUGUUUGCCGCCUUUUAUGGGUACAGAACGUGGCUUAUAA